rnacentral:rRNA from 1 species
AAACUUUCAACAACGGAUCUCUUGGUUCUGGCAUCGAUGAAGAACGCAGCGAAAUGCGAUAAGUAAUGUGAAUUGCAGAAUUCAGUGAAUCAUCGAAUCUUUGAACGCACAUUGCGCCCCUUGGUAUUCCGGGGGGCAUGCCUGUUCGAGCGUCAUAA